rnacentral:rRNA from 1 species
UGGAUCCAGACUUUGAUCCUGGCUCAGGACGAACGCUGGCGGCGUGCUUAACACAUGCAAGUCGUACGAGACGAUUGAAAGCUUGCUUUUGAGAGUCGAGUGGCAAACGGGUGAGUAACGCGUAGACAACCUGCCGUAAAGAUGGGGACAACAGUUCGAAAGGACUGCUAAUACCGAAUGUUGUAGAGUUUCCGCAUGGGGAUCCUACUAAAGGUGGCCUCUACUUGUAAGCUAUCGCUUUACGAUGGGUCUGCGUCUGAUUAGCUAGUUGGUGGGGUAACGGCUUACCAAGGCGACGAUCAGUAGCCGGUCUGAGAGGAUGAACGGCCACAUUGGAACUGAGACACGGUCCAGACUCCUACGGGAGGCAGCAGUGGGGAAUCUUCCGCAAUGGGCGCAAGCCUGACGGAGCAACGCCGCGUGAGUGAAGAAGGGUUUCGACUCGUAAAGCUCUGUUGUCGGGGACGAAUGUGGAGAUGGUGAAUAACCAUUUCCAAUGACGGUACCUGACGAGGAAGCCACGGCUAACUACGUGCCAGCAGCCGCGGUAAUACGUAGGUGGCGAGCGUUGUCCGGAAUUAUUGGGCGUAAAGGGAGCGCAGGCGGGAGGUCAAGUCUAUCUUAAAAGUGCGGGGCUCAACCCCGUGAGGGGAUGGAAACUGGUCUUCUUGAGUGCAGGAGAGGAAAGCGGAAUUCCUAGUGUAGCGGUGAAAUGCGUAGAUAUUAGGAGGAACACCAGUGGCGAAGGCGGCUUUCUGGACUGUAACUGACGCUGAGGCUCGAAAGCGUGGGGAGCGAACAGGAUUAGAUACCCUGGUAGUCCACGCCGUAAACGAUGAAUGCUAGGUGUAGGAGGUAUCGACCCCUCCUGUGCCGGAGUUAACGCAAUAAGCAUUCCGCCUGGGGAGUACGGCCGCAAGGCUGCAACUCAAAUGAAUUGACGGA